UACGGGGGGGGUAAGCGUUGUUCGGAAUUACUGGGCGUAAAGGGUGUGUAGGCGGUUCUUUAAGUUUGGGGGGAAAUCUCCCGGCUCAACUGGGAGGGUGCGCCGAAUACUGAGGGACUAGAGUACGGGAGAGGAAAGUGGAAUUCCUGGUGUAGCGGUGAAAUGCGUAGAUAUCAGGAGGAACACCGGUGGUGUAGACGGCUUUCUGGACCGUAACUGACGCUGAGACACGAAAGCGUGGGUAGCAAACAGG
rnacentral:rRNA from 1 species